GGGGGCUGCAGCGUGGGCAGGGCCGCCGGGGCGGAGGUGAGCCCUCAGGGGUGUUUUGCAAAAGGAUGAAAGCACCUUGAGGGGGUGUUAAAUUUGGGGGAGGAAAGGAUCAGGAAGGAGUAUGGCGUCCCUGUUUGGUGUGUGGGGCUUUGUGAGACUGUGGAAAAGUCUUAUGGGCUGCAGGUUUCGGUUUGGGACAGUGCUGCCACUGCAUGUGUCUGCUGCAGUGUGAUACUGUAGGAAAUGUUCCUUUGCUGAAAACUGAGUAAAAGGACUAAGCUUUUGGAAAAGGAGGUUCAUGUGGAGUCACUUCUGGGGAGUUGCAGUGACGUCAUGGCUCUUUAGAUGCGAGAACAACAGAAGAACUUAAGAGUGUAUUCAAAACUGUGGCAAAUGAAAAUUUCUGUUUUGGAUGACCUGCUUGUUAUCACUUAUAACUUUGUUACUAAUAUUAUGGUUAUCAAAUCUUGUGAUGAUGAAAUGUCUCUCUCCUGCAUAUGAAAUAGUGUUUUAGUUUGAAACAGUGCAAAUGGUCAUCUGGUGCAAUUAAACCUUUUCAUUAUAGUGGUAUUCAACAUUUCAUCAUGUUUAGUACCACUUCUAUUUCACUGGUCAGAUGAUGAGUUAGAAAUAUUGCAUGCUUUCAACAUCAGUCGCACAUGUGGAAUUAGGAAGCAUAAUAGUUAGACACAGCUUCUCAUAUUAAAUGUGUGACAAUAUCACAUGCCAGAAUCAUCAGAGACUUAAAAGGUCACUAAAUUUUGUAUGUAUUUCCAUUAAGUAUGAAGAGUGCUAUUCUUUCUUGCAUAAAUGCAAGAGAAGGUAUAUUUCUAUACUCCAACCCUAAGCUUUAAAAGGUAUAGUUAGUGCCAAUUCCUUAAUUAAUGGUAUUUAACUCAUUGUUUACAUGUGAUAAGUAUUUUUUAACUAGGAUAUAGCAGAUAAACUGGAGAAUGCUUGAGGUUACAUGUCUGAGCUAUAAUUAAAUCUUAUGUACAAAUUACUUGUUUUUUUUCUAUAUACUGUGGUUUUCACUUUGACAGCAAACUAUAUGCAAUCCCAUAGAUGUAUAUGCUUUUAUCAUUACAUUGAAAAAGGUUGUGAAAUCAAAUACUUACUUUUAGGAAGUGCAACAAUUAAGGUGUGCCAUGAGAAGAUACAGUGUGUAAUUACAAAACCAUGAUUAUGGAAUUUUCCAGUGACCAACAAAGAUAAACCAGAAUAUCAAUUA